rnacentral:rRNA from 1 species
CAAUAGCGUAUAUUAAAGUUGUUGCAGUUAAAAGCUCGUAGUUGGAUUUCGGAAGGUCCUUAGCAAUCCGCCCCUUCGGGGAGCGGGUUGCUGGCCUCCUAUGUUCCUAACGGUCCUCGUCCGCGAGGGCGGGGAAUCAACCGCUAGGAUCGUUUACUUUGAGGAAAUUAGAGUGUUCAAAGCAGGCGUAACUCGCCUCCGAAUACGUUAGCAUGGGAUAAUGGAAUACGACUUCGGUCUUGUUUCGUUGGUUUCGCUUGGCUGAAGUAAUGAUUGAUAGGGACAGUUGGGGGCAUUAGUAUUUAGUUGUCAGAGGUGAAAUUCUAGGAUUUACUAAAGACUGACCAAUGCGAAAGCAUUUGCCAAGGAUGUUUUCAUUAAUCAAGAACGAAAGUAGGGGGAUCGAAGACGAUUAGAU